rnacentral:rRNA from 1 species
GUAGGGGGGCGAGCGUUAUCCGGAAUUAUUGGGGGGCGUAAAGCGCGUGUAGGGCGGGCUUGGGUAGGGUUGGACGUGAAAGCUCCUGGCUCAACUGGGAGAGGUCGUUCAAAACCGCCAGGCUUGAGGACGGAAGAGGGGAGUGGAAUUCCCGGUGUAGUGGUGGAAUGCGUAGAUAUCGGGAGGAACACCCGUGGCGAAGGCGACUCCCUGGUCCGUUUCUGACGCUCAGACGCGAAAGCGUGGGUAGCGAACGGGAUUAGAUACCCCGGUAGUCCACGCCGUAAACGAUGGAUGCUAGGUGUAGGAGGUCUUGACCCCUUCUGUGCCGUAGCUAACGCGUUAAGCAUCCCGCCUGGGGACUACGACCGCAAGGUUA